rnacentral:rRNA from 1 species
UAUUCCUUUCUUCCAGGAGGGGAUAAGUUUUAUACUGUUGGUCUUGCUGCCACCUGCUGGGAGAUCUGGCUUGCUCGCAAUAAGGCUACCUUUGAGAAAAAGCAAAUUAAGUCUCCCUUUGAAAUUGUGUUCUCUAUAUGCUCCUUUCUUUUGUAUUGGACAGGACUGCAGAAGGGUGAUGAUGCUGGCAAGCUUCGCUCAGGUGCCGAGAUGAUCAGGGCCAGCACGAUGCAGCUGAUGAGACUUUGCGGGACCACUGCCCAGCCAAUUGGAGGAGCGUGA